UUACGGUCGUAUCGCGUUGAAACAUCCGUUCCUGUACGAUCACCAUAGGUAAGCAAGAGCGAGCCUGGUCAGUACUUUGAUGGAUGUCCACUUGAGAAUACAACGUGCUGUAAG